rnacentral:rRNA from 1 species
UACGGAGGGGGCAAGCGUUGUUCGGAAUCACUGGGUGUAAAGGGUGCGUAGGCGGUCAGUCAAGUCUGAUGUGAAAUCCCUUAGCUCAACUGAGGAACUGCAUUGGAAACUAGCAGGCUAGAGUAUCGGAGAAGAGAGCGGAAUUUCUGGUGUAGCGGUGAAAUGCGUAGAUACCAGGAGGAACACCGGUGGCGAAAGCGGCUCUCUGGCCGAAUACUGACGCUAAGGCACGAAAGCGUGGGGAGCAAACGGG